GGCCACUGGUAGCCGUAGCCAAAUCUGCCACCAGACCCACCCAGCUUGGGCUGCCUGGCAGGCAGAGGUGGGUCAGCACCCUCUCUGGACACCAGUGACUCCUGAGAGCCUGCAGCUCUGGAUGCCUCUGUCGGACCUAGAGCUGAAGAUGAAAUUGGCCUGAGGAAGAUUGAUGGUGGCCAACAUCAGGCUACUGAGGCCUAAGGCCCGCGAUUACGAUUCGGGCCAACUGUAGCUAUUUCUUUGAGGCCAACAUAUGUGAGAAGAGAAACAAAAUCAACACAUAUAUCUAUUACCUACUAUCUUAGCUGCUAGGCACUGUAGGGAGAAACCCAGACCUAUUAGCCUUCACCUGCAAGUGGUUUAUAUAUUUGGGGUGAUGAAAUAUAUAGAGAUAGACACGGAGACAUGAGAUGCACAGGUUAAAUAGUAUGAAUCAGUUUCAAUGCCUGUUCUAGGCUAGAGAGAAGAGGGUUACAAGGUGGUCCAUAAUUACCAGGCUGGGACGAGUGCAGUUAAUGAGUCCUGCAGGCUUUGGGAGGAGGGCUCUGGAGGCCCUGACUGCAGGACAACUAGUCUGGGAGCAACGUGCAUCGAGGGAGACCACUUGGAGGCAUUCACAAGAAACCAGGCAGACAUCAGGUCGCAGUGCUGGAGUGUUAAGAGGAAAACUAGAAACCAACAGCAAGAGGAGCUAGAAAACUAGAGAAGCAACAGUGAGGAGCCAGAGGGCUGCACUUCCUUUCUCAAGACCCAGAAACAACGGAGCGAGACCCAGAUUCCUGGAUCCACUGUUCCGGCUAUGGAGCACUCCUGGAAAACUUCCGGAUACGACGCUCUUCUUUUAGAAAGGCCUCUACGGGUCGGAGAUUUAGCUCCGUGGCACCGCGCCUGCCUGGCAAGCUCAAAUUCCCGAGUUCGAUCCCUGGUACCAAAAAAAAAAAAAAAAAAAAAGAGCCUUUAAGACCCUUACACGAAUCUCCAAAGCCCUGUUAGGAUCUCCGCCUUUCAGGCUAAGGACUCCAAGUGCAAAUAACCUGCUUUUGCUCCCGUUGCCAGGGUAACAGCCACAAAGUCAAUUCGGCCACCGUAACUGUUCCCAGAAUGCCGCGCGCCUUCACGCUCUUCCAAGGUCCGACUCCUUCCAGAGACCCGUGUCAGUUGGUCUCGCGAGGGUUGCUGGCAGGAUGUUAGAAUUGGCAGACUUGAGCAUAUUUUUGGGAAGGACAGUAAGGACUGUUCCCCACCCCCCCCAACUUUGCAAGCAAUUAGAAGGCUAAGGAAAGGGCAUAAUCUCACGGAAUUUUUGUUGAUUCUUAAUCAGUGGAUUAGAUGUUAUUAGAAAAAUGGAAAGGUGAUGUAUAUUUUAAGUAACCUGAGUUAGCCAUUCCACAAUGUAUACAUAUUUUAAAACAUGUUGUAGAUCAUAAAUAUAUAUUUUAUUUGUAAAAAAAUAAAAUAGCGUUUAAAGUUAAAAAGCUGAGCCCAGCGUGUUGAUAUACACCUGUAAUCCCCAGACUCGG
rnacentral:lncRNA from 1 species